rnacentral:rRNA from 1 species
GACAGAGGGUGCAAACGUUGCUCGGAAUCACUGGGCGUAAAGGGCUCGUAGGUGGCCAACUAAGUCAGACGUGAAAUCCCUCGGCUUAACCGGGGAACUGCGUCUGAUACUGGAUGGCUUGAGUUCGGGAGAGGGAUGCGGAAUUCCAGGUGUAGCGGUGAAAUGCGUAGAUAUCUGGAGGAACACCGGUGGCGAAGGCGGCAUCCUGGACCGACACUGACACUGAGGAGCGAAAGCCAGGGAGCAAACGGG